GACGCCGCGUGGGGGAGGAAGGCCUCAGGGUUGUAAAACCCCUGUCAGGUGGGACGAACCCCGAUACGUCGAACAGGCGUAUCGAUUGACGGUACCACCAGAGGAAGCUCCGGCUAACUCCGUGCCAGCAACCUCGGUGACUGAGCGGGCUGGCAAGGCGCAUA
rnacentral:rRNA from 1 species